rnacentral:tRNA from 1 species
GCGCUCUUAGCUCAGCUGGAUAGAGCAACAGCCUUCUAAGCUGUGGGCCGGAAGUUCGAAUCUUCCAGGGCGCACCA